rnacentral:tRNA from 1 species
GUCGUGGUGGUACGAGCGGAAAUAGUACGUGCCCGGCUUGAGCCCGAGCAGCCCCAUUCCGAGCUGGCUGUUGUUGAAGACCAUGUCCUCCACCACGUCGCC